rnacentral:rRNA from 1 species
AUUGUAAUUCAUACAAUUUUAAUGCAUUGGAUCCCAUUAGAAAUCCAUAGUUAAGAAUGCUUGGGCUAGAGUAGUACUUGGAUGGGUGACCUGCUAGGAAUUCCUAGUCUUUUGUUCUC